UGGCAGCACAUGGCACAGCCUAGAGGU
rnacentral:piRNA from 1 species